rnacentral:rRNA from 1 species
GAUGAACGCUGGCGGCGUGCCUAAUACAUGCAAGUCGAGCGAACAGACGAGGAGUUUGCUCCUCUGACGUGAGCGGCGGACGGGUGAGUAACACGUGGAUAACCUACCUAGAAGACUGGGAUAACGUCGGGAAACCGGAGCUAAUACCGGAUAAUAUAGUGAACCGCAUGGGUCAAUAGUGAAAGACGGUUUUGCUGUCACUUAUAGAUGGAUCCGCGCCGCAUUAGCUAGUUGGUAAGGUAACGGCUUACCAAGGCAACGAUGCGUAGCCGACCUGAGAGGGCGAUCGGCCACACUGGAACUGAGACACGGUCCAGACUCCUACGGGAGGCAGCAGUAGGGAAUCUUCCGCAAUGGGCGAAAGCCUGACGGAGCAACGCCGCGUGAGUGAUGAAGGUCUUCGGAUCGUAAAACUCUGUUAUUAGGGAAGAACAACUGUGUAAGUAACUAUGCACGUCUUGACGGUACCUAAUCAGAAAGCCACGGCUAACUACGUG